ACUGCCCUGCUUAGUACGUUUAAAGCCAAAAUAUUUUUCUUCACUGAUUCGUAACUUUUUGGGAGUUUGAUGUAUCCGAUGGAUCGCAUUAAGCGACAUCAGAUCAGAACACCCACCUUAGCAUUGCUGAGGAGGAAAUUUGGCUCAACGACCAAGUAGGGAGGAA
rnacentral:other from 1 species